rnacentral:rRNA from 1 species
GACGAACGCUGGCGGCGUGCCUAAUACAUGCUAGUCGAACGCUUCUUUCCUCCCGAGUGCUUGCACUCAAUUGGAAAGAGGAGUGGCGGACGGGUGAGUAACACGUGGGUAACCUACCCAUCAGAGGGGGAUAACACUUGGAAACAGGUGCUAAUACCGCAUAACAGUUUAUGCCGCAUGGCAUAAGAGUGAAAGGCGCUUUCGGGUGUCGUUGAUGGAUGGACCCGCGGUGCAUUAGCUAGUUGGUGAGGUAACGGCUCACCAAGGCCACGAUGCAUAGCCGACCUGAGAGGGUGAUCGGCCACACUGGGACUGAGACACGGCCCAGACUCCUACGGGAGGCAGCAGUAGGGAAUCUUCGGCAAUGGACGAAAGUCUGACCGAGCAACGCCGCGUGAGUGAAGAAGGUUUUCGGAUCGUAAAACUCUGUUGUUAGAGAAGAACAAGGACGUUAGUAACUGAACGUCCCCUGACGGUAUCUAACCAGAAAGCCACGGCUAACUACGUG